rnacentral:rRNA from 1 species
AUUGAACGCUGGCGGCAGGCCUAACACAUGCAAGUCGAGCGGGGUUUUCGGACCUAGCGGCGGACGGGUGAGUAAUGCGUAGGAAGCUGCCCGAUAGAGGGGGAUACCAGUUGGAAACGACUGUUAAUACCGCAUAAUGUCUACGGACCAAAGUGUGGGACCUUCGGGCCACAUGCUAUCGGAUGCGCCUACGUGGGAUUAGCUAGUUGGUGAGGUAAUGGCUCACCAAGGCGACGAUUUCUAGCUGGUUUGAGAGGAUGAUCAGCCACACUGGAACUGAGACACGGUCCAGACUCCUACGGGAGGCAGCAGUGGGGAAUAUUGGACAAUGGGCGCAAGCCUGAUCCAGCCAUGCCGCGUGUGUGAAGAAGGCCUUCGGGUUGUAAAGCACUUUCAGCGAGGAGGAAGGGUGGUGUGUUAAUAGCACAUCAUUUUGACGUUACUCGCAGAAGAAGCACCGGCUAACUCUGUGCCAGCAGCCGCGGUAAAAC